rnacentral:rRNA from 1 species
GGACAAACGCUGGCGGCGUGCUUAACACAUGCAAGUCGAACGGUACUCCUACGGGAGGUAUAGUGGCGGACGGGUGAGUAACACGUAGCUAAUCUACCCUGAUGUGGGGAAUAACCCCUCGAAAGAGGAGCUAAGACCGCAUAAGUUCUCUCUUGUUAGAGAGAGAAGAAACUUUGGCGAAGUGAAAAGCCAGAGGCGUUAGGAUGAGGCUGCGGCGGAUUUAGCUUAGAGUGGUAGGGGAAAAGCCUACCAUGGCGACGAUCCGUAGCUGGUCUGAGAGGACG